UUUUCUGGUCUUCAGGUUGAACCUCAAUUUCUCUCUCUGAGUUUUUAUUGACCUUGCUUCGCCUGUUCCUGCCAGCAUGCCUGUCCCUUGCUGCCAUGUUAUCCCUACCAUUAUAAACUCUAACCCUCUGGACUCAUCAACUAAAAUAGACCUUCUUCCUUGACUUGCUACUGGCCAAGGUGUUUUAUCGCAGCUAUAGAAAAGUAAGGAAUAUACAGGCUAGGAUAUCUUACAUCCAUACUGUGGAAUAGUACUCAGCAAUGAAAAAGAGAGAACAAGCGGGAGCCAACAACGUCGGUGGGGUUGAGGCGCAUCUCUGAAGAUUGCAUAUUGUGUGAGACAACCGGAUGCAGAAAUGGGAGGAGCCAGUGAGAUGUCAAAAGCAGAGCACGAGGGAGGUCUCUGUGGUUAUGGACCACUUCUGAAGCCCGAUUGCAGUGGUGGCUGCACUGGUCUACGCAGAGCAGAGCCCUGCCUGGUCAGCACAGUGGUUUCGGGACCCAUCCUUCCCAGUGUACUGUAAUUAUACCAGAUGGAGCCACUGGGGAAACCACAGUUGGGUCCUACCCGGCUCUGAACCACCUGUGCAGUUUUCGGUGAAUUCUGUAAUUAUUUCAGAGCAAAAAGGACUGAAAAAGAGGAGUGUAAUCAGAGAGCUGGGAUUACAGACCGCCUCCACCGACUCCAAACCCUACUGCUCAAAGCAGAUCAAAGCACCCUUAACUCUGUCAAGUCGCGGCCUCUGCUUCAUCCCGACACACAGCUAACUCUUCGUUGCCUGUGAAACCAUCCGUUCUCUCCCAGGACACUUCUCACUUUAGGACCGCUAGUCUCCUCUUACCAGAACGGACAUCAUACUCAACCCAAUUACAAUUAUUAGGUUAUUUGUUUGCAGCUCCCUGCAGAGCACAAAUUUGAGGAAAUAUUUACAAAACCUAGCUAAUAAAGCCUCGAUGGGAGAAUAUAUAAGCCAAUCUUCCAAUCAAACUGUAAAAAGAGACUCAAUGUGAUUUUUAAUACAAACGCUUGUUUCAAGAUUUAUUUUAUUUAUUAUGUAUACUGUGUUCUCUCGGCUUGUACGCUUGCAUGCCAGAAGAGGGCAUCAGAUCUCAUUACAGACAGCUGUGAGCCACCAUGAGGUUGCUGAGAAUUGAACUCAGGACCUCUGGAAGGGAAGUCAAUGCUCCUAAACUCUGAACCAUCGCUCCAGUCCCACGUAAAUAAUCUUUUUAAUAAAGGCCCAGAGACUUAAGCUGAAACUUCAUAUAAGGAAAUAUGUAGCUAGUAGACGCAUACAUGAAAAGCGGCUGAACAUUAACCUGGAGGGAAAUACAGACCGGACUGCAGGAAAGACGCCCCAGAGAAAGUGGCUGCAGCUAAAGUCACCUGGCAGACAGACACCGGCAAGGCAGUGGAGCAGCUGCAGAGCUAUUCUAGAAGAUGGGGUGCAGCUUCCUAAACAGCAAAUGCACACCAAAUGCUCGACACAGACGUUCUCUACCAUGGGUUUUCACAAGAGAAAUCUAUGUCUGUGACUAUAUAAAGAUCCCACACACACACAAAUUCCUGGUGAAUAGUUCAAUUUAAUACUUGCAAGCUGAAAGCCAUCCAAAUAUUUGCCUAAAGGUCAGUGGUUAAACUGUGGGACACCCACAUCCUUUCAGCAAUAAAGGAAGAAAUGAUUGAUUCGCACACCAGAGACCAACAUUGUAACAGUGCUGACGGAUCGAAGGGUAGGAAUUCUUCAAGCUAUCUGAUACAGGAGGAAGCUGGGUCAGAGAGCCUCCAGAACCUGGGGAGACUGCAGCUGUCAUCAGAUGCCCCUAGCAGCAAAGUCGGCUGCAGACUGAGACAGGAAGAUGGCCUGCAGGCCUCCAGAACAGCCUUCUGUUUGAUCAGAAUGUUUGAAGACCCUGGUCAGUCAAGAGACCAGAUCCCUGUUCCACUUGAGCAGUGGACAAGGCCCUUCCCCUUUCUGGGCCUCUACUUCUUCCAAGGGAGGAGGUGAAGGAACUCAUUUAACCCUAUUUUAUGUUCUCUGGGUGCCCUGCAGGACCUCGCUUUUCCUCCUGCCCAAGUUGCAGGGGUGCCACAGUCAUAGGGAGUCUUGAUUCUCUUGCGAAACUGGCCCCCUGGCUCUACCAUCCCAAGCUUGGAGCAGAGUACCCUUCUCCAUCUGACAGCGACUCUCUAGACGGCCGCCGGCCACUCUGCCUCCUCCCUCAGUUGUCCCACUGUCCCCGUAUCCUAGUCAAGGUUUCUAUUGCUGUGGUGAAACACCACAGCCGAAAGCACCUUGAGGAGGAAAAAGGGUUGAUUUCACUUGCACUUUUCAUAGUUCAUCAGAGGAACCGGGGCAGAUCUCAAAGCAGGAAGUGGAGCUGAUGCGGAGGCCAUGGAGGAGAGCUGCUGACGGGCUUGUGCCCCAUUACCUGUUCAGCCUGCUUUCUUCUAGAACCCAAGCCCAACGGCCCAGAGAUGGCACCACCUUCAGUGAGCCAGGCCCUCCCAGAUCAAUCAUCUAUCAAGAAAAUGCACGCCAGGCUUGCCCAUAAGCCAAUCCAGCAGGGGUAAUCCUCUCACUAAGCGACUCUAACUUGUGUCGUUUGUGGAGGCCCAAAGAGAUCAAAGGGACUUGUUUUUAGUUCAAGAUUAUUGUGCUUCUAACUCAAAGGUCCCAUCUAGUGGUAAAUCAGAGUUCCGCUCUCUCAAGGCUAUCGUAAACAGAUGUGGCUAGAAGCCAGACCUGAAACAGGGAAGUAGUUGGCUCCCACCUAAAACAAGAGUCUAAGGAUCCAGCUAAAUUCUAGUUCCCUUUAUGGAAAUAACUCGCGAUGCCACCCAGGGAGUGAUUUGCCUACAGAGUGGUCUAGGGCAUGAGUCAAGGGCAUGAGAGAGGAACGUGCCCCGUGACUUUCAAUUUGUAUGUUAAUGCAGUUCUUUUGUUCUACUCCUACCUUUUGAAAUCAAGGGUAUAUUAAGAUGUUGGAAAUUAAACAUGCACACAUUUUCAGUACGCACUGAAAUU